rnacentral:lncRNA from 1 species
GAAACUGCUUUGUUGAGAUAUAAUUGUAUAUUCCACAUUUUGCUUAAUGAUGAAUACGUGGGUUGCAUCCACAUUUCAGCUGUUGUGAAUAGUGCGGCUAUGAACAUGGCUGUAGAAACAUCUCUUCAAGGCCCUGUUUCCAUUUCUUUGGGUAUAUACUCAGAAGUGGAAUUACUGGAUUAUAUGCAUAGAGUAUAUGAGGACUCUCAUGUUUCAAAGGCUAAAUGGUCUGAGCUUUAACUCAGUGCCUCAUCUUCAUUUUACCUCAAGACUAAUGAAAGACAGUGAAAAAGAGAAUGACAGAAAAUUCCCUCAUAAUUUCUGGCUUCGACUUUCAACUUACAGGACUGAAAAUUACUGGCAAUCUUUGCUAAACUCAAAAGGUAUGUAAUCAACCUUUGAUUACUUAACAAUAGAGGGUGCCAAGAAACUAUAUAUCUCUGUGCAUAGUUAUUAUGAAUCUGAUCCCUUAUCAGAAGGCUCGUUGAGUCAGACAUCUGUUUUCUUUCGUAUUUAGUCAUUCCAUGCAUGUGGACAGUGGCAUUGAUAUGAGAAAUAAACUACCUAAUUGACAUUUUUGUUUGGUUUUGUUUUCACUGGAAAUUUCAGAGAGGAAAUUUUUAGGUAAACCAUUUGUAAAUUUUGGGGUAAAGUUGUU